UAAACACACAGGAGGCUAGUCCCGCA
rnacentral:piRNA from 1 species